GGGAUGGAGCCGUCUAAGGUGAGGCUCGUGAUUGGGACUAAGUCGUAACAAGGUAGCCGUACCGGAAGGUGCGGCUGGAUCACCUCCUUU
rnacentral:rRNA from 1 species